rnacentral:rRNA from 1 species
CCUACGGGAGGCUGCAGUGGGGAAUAUUGGACAAUGGGGGGAACCCUGAUCCAGCCAUGCCGCGUGUGUGAAGAAGGCCCUCGGGUUGUAAAGCACUUUCAGUGAGGAAGAACGCCUGGUGGUUAAUACCCAUCAGGAAAGACAUCACUCACAGAAGAAGCACCGGCUAACUCCGUGCCAGCAGCCGCGGUAAUACGGAGGGUGCGAGCGUUAAUCGGAAUUACUGGGCGUAAAGCGCGCGUAGGUGGCUUGAUAAGCCGGUUGUGAAAGCCCCGGGCUCAACCUGGGAACGGCAUCCGGAACUGUCAAGCUAGAGUGCAGGAGAGGAAGGUAGAAUUCCCGGUGUAGCGGUGAAAUGCGUAGAGAUCGGGAGGAAUACCAGUGGCGAAGGCGGCCCUCUGGACUGAAACUGACACUGAGGUGCGAAAGCGUGGGUAGCAAACAGGAUUAGAUACCCCUGUAGUC